CUGUGUGUCUGCUGGCUACAAGUUCAUCCCAGGACAUCGCGGCAGAUUCGUUUAUAGCUCAUCUUGUCUUUUCGCGACUUUAUGGUAGUGAUGGCUUUUUAUAGGUCUGUGUAGGUGAAGUGCAGGCGAUAAAAAAAAGACGAAGAAGAAGCUGAAAAUGCCACAGUUAAUGGUAGCCUAGUGUAAAAUAGUAAUUCAGGUACUUAUAAAAACUGUAAGACAAGAGUUACCAAAAUUCAAAUGCGUAAUUUCAAAGACAGAAAUCCGCGUAAUUUGGAGAGCAGAGAAUACACGCACUCCUUCUCUCAUUUUUUUCAGAAUGAACUUUACAUGUGUCGGACACUUAUAAAUUCCCAGUCAUAAAGGUUGCCGUAAAUGAUUUGGUUAAACACUUUCAGAAGCAAACGGUGUGCAGUAUAGGGUGAAUUUGUGCAGCUUUACCCUUAUCAUCCUUUUUUUUGAAUAGAUGGAGCAGUUGUGGCAGGGACCGUGGUGCGCAGCAGCAGGCAGCAGCAGCAGCUGAGCGGAGAGAUAGGAGCGCGUAGGAACACGCUCUUGGAGAGACCAGAGUCAUUCCUUUCUCUCUCCGCUUGCCAGUCACACCGAAGACACAUCGCAGUGUAUCUGAAUGUUGCAUCACAAAGGAUGGCCCCCAAAAAGAAAAGCAUAAAGACUGAUUUAAACACCCAAGGAAACGCCGCAAAAAGGGAGAGCGUGACUUUCUUGGCAUGGAGGAGCGCGCAGAGAGGCAUACAUUCCCCCGGACUUCCUUUUCCAUCCGCUUCAUGACUCACCCUCCUUUAGCUGUGAAGUGCUUUAUCUCAUCAAGAAAUGGAUCAAGCCAUGAAUCUUGUCAUGUUGCCCAAACAAAAUGUUAGCCUGGGGCUGGUGAGCAGCAUUGGUGUUGCAUUGCAGAAGAUAACCAUUGAUGUGCAACAUAAAGACUUAAGGUCAUCGCAGUGUGGAAAUUUCUAAGCAUUUGAAUAAAUCUAUAUAUAUCUAAAAAGCAUAAAAAUUUAUCAGAGUGACUUUUUCCAUUAUUACCG
rnacentral:lncRNA from 1 species